GACGAACGCUGGCGGCGUGCUUAACACAUGCAAGUCGAACGGAAAGGCCCUGCUUUUGUGGGGUGCUCGAGUGGCGAACGGGUGAGUAACACGUGAGUAACCUGCCCUUGACUUUGGGAUAACUUCAGGAAACUGGGGCUAAUACCGGAUAGGAGCUCCUGCUGCAUGGUGGGGGUUGGAAAGUUUCGGCGGUUGGGGAUGGACUCGCGGCUUAUCAGCUUGUUGGUGGGGUAGUGGCUUACCAAGGCUUUGACGGGUAGCCGGCCUGAGAGGGUGACCGGCGACAUUGGGACUGAGAUACGGCCCAGACUCCUACGGGAGGGAGCAGUGGGGAAUAUUGCACAAUGGGCGGAAGCCUGAGGCAGCAACGCCGCGUGCGGGAUGACGGCCUUCGGGUUGUAAACCGCUUUCGCCUGUGACGAAGCGUGAGUGACGGUAAUGGGUAAAGAAGCACCGGCUAACUACGUG
rnacentral:rRNA from 1 species